UACAGAGGUCCCGAGCGUUGUUCGGAUUCACUGGGCGUAAAGGGUGCGCAGGUGGGCUGGUAAGUUUGAUGUGAAAGCCCCGGGCUUAACCUGGGAAUGGCAUUGAAUACUACUGGUCUGGAGGAUUGGAGGGGGGACUGGAAUUCUUGGUGUAGCAGUGAAAUGCGUAGAUAUCAAGAGGAACACCAGUGGCGAAGGCGAGUCCCUGGACAAUUCCUGACACUGAGGCACGAAAGCUAGGGGAGCAAACAGG
rnacentral:rRNA from 1 species